ACGGUUAUAAAUCAACAUAUUGAUUUAUAAGCAUGGAAAUCCCCUGAGUGAAACAACGAAUUGCUGUGUGUAGUCUUUGCCCAUCUCCCACGAUGGGCUUUUUUUUAA
rnacentral:other from 23 species